rnacentral:rRNA from 1 species
UACGGAGGGUGCAAGCGUUAUCCGGAUUCACUGGGUUUAAAGGGUGCGUAGGUGGAAUAGUAAGUCAGUGGUGAAAGCCUGUUGCUUAACAACAGAACUGCCAUUGAUACUGCUAAUCUUGAGUACAUCUGAAGUGGGCGGAAUGUGUCAUGUAGCGGUGAAAUGCUUAGAUAUGACACAGAACACCGAUUGCGAAGGCAGCUCACUAAACUGUAACUGACACUGAGGCACGAAAGCGUGGGGAUCAAACAGG